rnacentral:rRNA from 1 species
UAGGGAAUCUUCCACAAUGGGCGCAAGCCUGAUGGAGCAACGCCGCGUGUGUGAUGAAGGGUUUCGGCUCGUAAAACACUGUUGUAAGAGAAGAAUGACAUUGAGAGUAACUGUUCAAUGUGUGACGGUAUCUUACCAGAAAGCCACGGCUAACUACGUGUCAG